UUGAAUUCUCCAAGGCGAAUGUAUUUCCAAGUCUCGGCUUACUGCAGCCCAGGAACUGCCAAGGUUGGUGUUAGGGAGGGCCAAACAAGUUUAAAAAUGCUGCUUCUGGCCGGGCGCGGUGGCUCACGCCUGUAAUCCCAGCACUUUGGGAGGCCGAGGCGGGCGGAUCAUGAGGUCGGGAGUUUGAGAGCAGCCUGACCAACACAGUGAAACCCCGUCUCUACUAAAAAUACAAAAAAUUAGCCAGGUGUGGUGGUGGGCACCUUUAAUCCCAGCUACUCGGGAGGCUGAGGCAGGAGAAUCACUUGAAGCUGGGAGGUGGAGGUUGCAGUGAGCCGAGAUCAUGUCACUGCACUCCUGCCUGGGUGACAGUACUCAAUAAAUAAAUAAAUAAAUAAAUAAAUAAAUAAAAUGCUGCUUCUCCGGACUCUGGACUGACCUCAGACAGCCACCAGCCUGCCUGCCACAUUGGUAUUUUUUUUUUUUUUUGAGACAGAGUCUUGCUCAGUCACCCAGGCUGGAGUGCAGUGGUGCGAUCUCUGCUCACUGCAAGCUCCGUCUCCCGGGUUCACGCCAUUAUCUAGCCUCAGCCUGCUGAGUAGCUGAACUACAGGCGCCCGCCACCAUGCCCGGAUAAUUUUUUGUAUUUUUAGUAGAGGUGGGGUUUCACCGUGUUAGCCAGGAUGGUCUCGAUCUCCUGACCUCAUGAUCCACCCGCCUCAGCCUCCCAAAGUGCUAGGAUUACAGGCGUGAGCCACUGCACCCGGCCUUUUUUUCUUUUUUGAGAUGGAGUCUCACUCUGUCGCCCAGGCUGCAGUGCAGUGCCACAAUCUCGGGUCACUACAACCUCCACCUCCCGGGUUCAAGCGAUUCUCCUGCCUCAGCCUCCCAAGUAGCUGGGAUUACAGGUGCCCACCACCACAGCCGGCUAAUUUUUAUAAUUUUAGUAGAGACGGGGUUUUGCCACGUUGGCUAAGCUGGUCACAAAUUCCUGACCUCAGGUGAUUCGCCCGCCUUGGCCUCCCAAAGUGCUGGGAUUACAGGUGUGAGCCACCGUGCCCGGCCCACAUCACAUCAUUACUUUUUAUUUCCUUACAGUUUUAUAGGAAAAGGUCAGUCCAAGAGAAACUGAAAGGAGCAGACAGUUCUGGACACUUAACGCAGGCACGACAUCUUAAACAGGCUCUGGGCCCUCUGGAAACUUUCCAGAAGCUUCUACCUUUAGGGCUCAGCCCCUUCCCCCACCUUAGAAACACCAUUCACGUUUUGUCUUUUUAUGACACUUUCUCCAAGGGGCUUGGAAACGGGCACUUUUUAAACAUAAGCGACGCCCUCCCACGGAGUGCACCUGCCCAGUGGGCUUGUGUGUGUGUCUGUGCACAUCUGUCUCUCCGUGCGGGCCCAGCCCUGCAAGCCAGCCAUGCGGUCUCUCUGCCUACGGUGCCCUUCUUCAGGCAUCAGCGCUUCCACCCACACCGUCCUUCUGCCUGACCAACCCCUACAUGUACAUCAAAGGCUGUUCUCAUGCAUCGAAGGACACCAUCAAUGGACAGAAAAAUGCAACCCAGAGAUGGAGGGAAAUGUCUGCAGAUCACACGUCUCCUAGAGACUGAUCUCUAGACUCUACAAAUAACUCCAACUCAACAACAGAAAACCAAACGUCCCAAUUUUAGGAUGGACGGAUGGUCUCCCUCGGGUCCUCGUUUCCAAGACAAGAAGGAACAAUGGUUGUGCCAAAAGGGCCACGGCUGUGAGCAGCCCAUGACUGCAGGAGCUGCACCCAAUGUGUACCCAGGGACAACGCCAUUAAGCAGUUCAUCAGGAUGCGGUAGAGUUAGGCAGUUCACUAUCGGGACGAGGUAAAGUUUGGCAGUUCACCAUCGGGAUGCGGCUGAGUUAGCAGUUCACCACUGGGACGAGGUAGAGUUUGGCAGUUCACCGUCGGGACGAGGUAGAGUUUGGCAGUUCACCGUCGGGAUGCGGCAGAGUUAGCAGUUCACCAUCAGGAUGUGGUAGAGUUAGGCAGUUCACCAUUGGGACGAGGUAGAGUUAGGCAGUUCACCAUCGGGACGAGGUUUAGGCAGUUCACCAUCGGGACGAGGUAAAGUUUGGCAGUUCACCAUCGGGAUGCGGCAGAGUUAGCAGUUCACCAUCGGGAUGUGGUAGAGUUAGGCAGUUCACCAUCGGGAUGCGGUAGAGUUAGGCAGUUCACCAUCGGGACGAGGUUUAGGCAGUUCACCAUCGGGACGAGGUAAAGUUUGGCAGUUCACCAUCGGGAUGCGGCAGAGUUAGCAGUUCACCAUCGGGAUGUGGCAGAGUUAGCAGUUCACCAUCGGGAUGUGGUAGAGUUAGGCAGUUCACCAUCGGGACGAGGUAGAGUUAGGCAGUUCACCAUCGGGAUGCGGCAGAGUUAGCAGUUCACCAUAGGGAUGCGGUAGAGUUCGGCAGUUCACCAUCGGGAUGCGGUAGUUAGCAGUUCACCAUCGGGAUGCGGUAGAGUUUGGCAGUUCACCAUCGGGAUGCGGUAGAGUUCGGCAGUUCACCAUCGGGAUACGGCAGAGUUAGCAGUUCACCAUCGGGACGCGGUAGAGUUAGGCAGUUCACCAUCUGGAUGCAGUAGAGGCCGCAGCCUUGCAGACAUUUUGGAAGCAUCUGCGCCGACUGUGUGCUUCCCGAGCUGCGUGUGAAGCUGCGUCACUGCCCCAGUGGUGCCCUUCACAGCAAGCCAGUCAGGAAUCCUGCUCCUCAAGUCCAGGGCUAUGCACGUCACCCAAGUCUAGACCUGGGUGCUGCCCACGACCCCCACCAAGGCCCCAAGACCAUGCAUUCCACCUGGGUCUAGACCUGGGUGUUGCCCACGACUCCCACUAAGACCCACAUAAGGAGCUGAGUCCUUAAGGACUAAAGACAAACUAUCCUCUGGGGAAAAAAAUACGGAAAUUAUACUUUAAAAAAAGGGCAAAGGACUUGAAUAGACAUUUCCCCAAAGAAGAAAAACCGACGACCAAGAAGCAGUGAAAAGGCAUUCCACAUCAUCGUUCAGCAGAGAAACCCAUCCAAGCCACCACCGCACCACGAUCCAGCCUCGCAGAAAAGGGCAACUGGCAGCAAGUGCCAGCCGGCGUGCAGAAGCCAGGCCCUCCAUCCGCUGAGUGUGCUGCGUGCUGCUGCACUGUGCUCUUGAUUCUACCGGCCAGGGCGGCAGUCCUGCUCUUGAUUCUACAGGCGAGGGCGGCAGUCCCUGCUCUUCAAUCUAAAGACGAGGGCAGCUGUCCCCUGCUCUUGAUUCUACAGGCGAGGGCGGCUGUCCCUGCUCUUGAUUCUACAAGCAAGGGCAGCUGUCCCUGCUCUUGAUGCUACAGGCCAGGGCGGCUGUCCCUGCUCUUGAUGCUACAGGCCAGGGCGGCUGUCCCUGCUGAUUCUACAGGUGAGGGCGGCUGUCCCUGCUCUUGAUUCUACAGGCCAGGGCGGCUGUCCCUGCUCUUGAUUCUACAGGCCAGGGCGGCUGUCCCUUGCUCUUGAUUCUACAGGCCAGGGCGGCUGUCCCUUGCUCUUGAUGCUACAGGCCAGGGCGGCUGUCCCUGCUCUUGAUUCUACAGGCAAAGGCGGCUGUCCCUUGCUCUUGAUUCUACAGGCCAGGGCGGCUGUCCCUGCUCUUGAUUCUACAGGCCAGGGCGGCUGUCCCGUGCUCUUGAUUCUACAGGCCAGGGCGGCUGUCCCGUGCUCUUGAUUCUACAGGCCAGGGCGGCUGUCCCUGCUCUUGAUUCUACAGGCGAAGGCGGCUGUCCCUUGCUCUUGAUUCUACAGGCCAGGGCGGCUGUCCCUGCUCUUGAUUCUACAGGCCAGGGCGGCUGUCCCUGCUCUUGAUUCUACAGGCCAGGGCGGCUGUCCCUGCUCUUGAUUCUACAGGCCAGGGCGGCUGUCCCUUGCUCUUGAUGCUACAGGCCAGGGCAGCUGUCCCUGCUCUUGAUUCUACAGGCAAAGGCGGCUGUCCCUUGCUCUUGAUUCUACAGGCCAGGGCGGCUGUCCCUGCUCUUGAUUCUACAGGCCAGGGCGGCUGUCCCGUGCUCUUGAUUCUACAGGCCAGGGCGGCUGUCCCGUGCUCUUGAUUCUACAGGCCAGGGCGGCUGUCCCGUGCUCUUGAUUCUACAGGCCAGGGCGGCUGUCCCUGCUCUUGAUUCUACAGGCGAAGGCGGCUGUCCCUUGCUCUUGAUUCUACAGGCCAGGGCGGCUGUCCCUGCUCUUGAAUCUACAGGCCAGGGCGGCUGUCCCUGCUCUUGAUUCUACAGGCCAGGGCGGCUGUCCCUGCUCUUGAUUCUACAGGCCAGGGCGGCUGUCCCUGCUCUUGAUUCUACAGGCCAGGGCGGCUGUCCCUGCUCUUGAUUCUACAGGCCAGGGCGGCUGUCCCUGCUCUUGAUUCUACAGGCCAGGGCGGCUGUCCCUGCUCUUGAUUCUACAGGCCAGGGCGGCUGUCCCUGCUCUUGAUUCUACAGGCCAGGGCGGCUGUCCCUGCUCUUGAUUCUACAGGCCAGGGCGGCUGUCCCUUGCUCUUGAUGCUACAGGCCAGGGCGGCUGUCCCUGCUCUUGAUUCUACAGGCAAAGGCGGCUGUCCCUUGCUCUUGAUUCUACAGGCCAGGGCGGCUGUCCCUUGCUCUUGAUUCUACAGGCCAGGGCGGCUGUCCCUGCUCUUGAUUCUACAGGCCAGGGCGGCUGUCCCGUGCUCUUGAUUCUACAGGCCAGGGCGGCUGUCCCGUGCUCUUGAUUCUACAGGCCAGGGCGGCUGUCCCUGCUCUUGAUUCUACAGGCGAAGGCGGCUGUCCCUUGCUCUUGAUUCUACAGGCCAGGGCGGCUGUCCCUGCUCUUGAAUCUACAGGCCAGGGCGGCUGUCCCUGCUCUUGAUUCUACAGGCCAGGGCGGCUGUCCCUGCUCUUGAUUCUACAGGCCAGGGCGGCUGUCUCUGCUCUUGAUUCUACAGGCCAGGGCGGCUGUCCCUGCUCUUGAUUCUACAGGCCAGGGCGGCUGUCCCGUGCACACUCACAAGUGAAACAACACUCUUCAGGGAGGCACCGCGCUCAGGCCGUCAACACCCUUCCCGCACCUCCCUCCUCCGGUGGUUCUGUCAAGCAGGGACACAGGGACGGAGGGGCCUUGGUCAUUUUGGUCCUGGCUGUUGAAGCCCCCAUGAGGCUGACCUGAGAGGCCAAAGUUGGACACCACGAUUGCCACAAAGGCCAUAGCUGCUUCUCCUUGACGGUCACCUCGACGUGCCAAUGUGGCCAAGCAGGCAGGCGCCAGCAACACCCACAAGACAGAUGCUGAUGGCCCGGGGACUCCCCUAGGCCACCCCUAGAUGGCGCCAUGGCCCAGGGCCACCAGGAGCCAUGGCUGCUGCAAAAGGAACGGGGAUGCCGGGAAAAGCCUGGGGACCACGUCACCCACCCACAGAGCCGGGGCCUCUAGAGCACCUUGCUCUUGAAUCAGAGGCUGCUCUGGGAUGCUCCUCCCGCUGGACGUCUGCGUCCCACCCAUCCUGCAGGCUCCGCACCCGGUUGCCCACGGUGCGCGUCAGAACAGGAUUCUCAGCAACAGUGAAGAGGAAAAGUGUAAGAAGACUAUGAAACAACGUCCCCAUGGAUACCAUUUAGACACAAACAGCGGCCUGUUCUCUAAGCACAGUCAGCCGAGUGUCUUGUUCCCAGCAAGCCACAGCCACUGACCACAUGGAGCCCUCUGACCACACAGGGCCCCAGGAUGUCACUCUGGAAAAGGCUCCUUCCGGUGCUCUGAGCGUUCCCCUCUGGCAGCGUCUGGCUCUUCAUUCGUGGAUGCGGUAUCUCUGAUGACGCCAAUGAUGAGACAGAAGGAGAGUCAAAGCAUGAGAGGGACUUCACCCGCCAGUGCUGGCUCUGCAGAUGGGCAAGGGCCCUCCGUGAACAACGCAGGCGGCCUGGAGAAGCCGGGAAAGGCUCGGCUUGCACCCAGCAAGGUGCUACUGCCAGUCCUACCACCAGCAAGAACGGAAUUCUGCCAACCUCCCAACGAGCAAGAGAACAUCUUCCUGUAGGGCCUGCAAAAAGCAAAGCCCUGGCCAACACCUUGACUUCAGCCCAGGGAAACCCACACUGGACUGAGGACCGAGAGGACUGUGUGUCAGCCAACACCUUGACUUCAGCUCAGGGAAACCCACACUGGACUGAGGACCGAGAGGACUGCGUGUCAGCCAACACCUUGACUUCAGCCCAGGGAAACCCACACUGGACUGAGGACCGAGAGGACUGCGUGUCAGCCAACACCUUGACUUCAGCCCAGGGAAACCCACACUGGACUGAGGACCGAGAGGACUGUGUGUCAGCCAACACCUUGACUUCAGCCCAGGGAAACCCACACUGGACUGAGGACCGAGAGGACUGUGUGUCAGCCAACACCUUGACUUCAGCCCAGGGAAACCCACACUGGACUGAGGACCGAGAGGACUGUGUGUCAGCCAACACCUUGACUUCAGCCCAGGGAAACCCACACUGGACUGAGGACCGAGAGGACUAUGUGUCAGCAAUAACAGAAAAGGAGUAGAAAGGCCAUCUAUUGCGGCCCUGUAUUUAUUAUAAAUAAACUGAAUCCAAACUAAAAAUCCACCCACUGGGGAAUGGUUACUGACAGAAUAGAAAUGUUCUAUGGCUAUUACAAAGAAACAAGCUUGCAGCCAUCAGCAUGGCUAAAAGGAAGGCAGGACUUAGAACAAACAGGACUCUCCCUCUCUCCUGUGGGACAGAAACUGUGUGACUGCUUUGGAGAACGGGUUGGCAGCAUCUACACAGGCCCUACAGCCCAGCUUCCACUCCUCAGUACGUCCCAACAGCAAUGGGCACCUGUGUUGACCAAACGCGUCUGAGACUCCUCACAGGAGCCCUGUGAGAGUCACCCAACAUGGAAACCAUCCCAAAGCCCAUCUGGAGUGGAGCCAAUGCACUGCAGCCUUGACACACGGGAGACCACUCGGCGCGGGGAAGGAGGGAGCAACUGCACUCAACCACGUGGCCGAAGCUCACCCAGAAGACAUGGAAAGAAGGCAGCCGGACACAGGAGAGUUUGCCCUGUGUGGCUCCAUUGACGUGAAAACUAGACAAGGCAGAUGAGUCCACAGUGACAUGCCAGGCCGGGGGCAGAGUGUGAGAGGCCUGCAGAGGGCGAGGCUGCGAGGGCUGAUGCUUUCUCAGGCCGGCAUGCCUGUCCGCACUCACUGUAUUGCAGACUUUAAAGGGGUUUUUUUGUACACAAAUUACACCUCAAUAAAGCUGAUUAAUUAAAAGACGGAAAGCUGACAACAUCAAAUGUUGGCAAAGAUGUGGAGCACCUGGAACUCUCAUGCAUUGCUGAUGGGACUAUGAAACAAUGGGGCUGCUUGAGCAAACAGUUUUCUCUUUUGAGAUCAGGUCUCACUGUGCUGCUCAGGCUGGAGUGCAGCGGAACAAUCACGGCUCGCUGCAGCCUCCAACUCCAGGGCUCACACGAUCCUCCUGCCUCAGCCUCCUGAGUAGCUAAGACUAUUACAAGUGUGCGUCACCACACCAGGCUAAUUUAUUUAUUUUUUUGAGACAAAGUCUCACUCUGUCGCCCAGGCUGGAGUGCAGUGGCAUGAUCUCAGCUCACUCCAACCUCCGCCUCCCGGGUUCAAGUGAUUGUCCUGCCUCAGCCUCCCAAGUAACUGGGACCACAAGCACCACCACCACACCAGGCUAACUUUGUAUUUUUAGUAGAGAUACGGUUUCACCAUGUUGGCCAGGCUGGUCUCAAACUCCUGACCUCAAGUGAUCUGCCUGCCUCGGCCUCCCAAAGUGCUGAGACUACAGGCAUGAGCCACCACACCCAGCCCCAGGCUAAUUUUUCAAUAUGUUUAUAGCAACGAGUUCUCACUAUGUUGCCCAGGCUGGGCAAGCUUAUAAAUUAAAACGUACACUCAUAUAUGACAGCAAUUCCACUCUUAGAUCUACCUAAGGGAACAGAAACACCUUCAGAAAGACUCACAUAUAUUCUAGAGAAACACCUUCAGAAGGACUCACGUGUAUUCUAGAGAAACACCUUCAGAAAGACUCACAUAUAUUCUAGAGAAACACCUUCAGAAAGACUCACGUGUAUUCUAGAGAAACACCCUCAGAAGGACUCACGUGUAUUCUAGAGAAACACCUUCAGAAGGACUCACAUAUAUUCUAGAGAAACACCUUCAGAAGGACUCGUGUAUUCUAGAGAAACACCUUCAGAAGGAUUCACGUGUAUUCUAGAGAAACACCUUCAGAAGGCCUCGUGCGUAUUUGUGUUAUAGUUUAGUGCUAGUGCCACUGAACUGUAUCCCUACAUAUGGCUAAAAUGACGUGUUUUCUGUAUUUUACAAGAAAAAUAAUUAAAAAAAAAAAUUUAAAAGAACUAGCUCUGAGCCGGGUGUGGUGGUACAUGCCUGUAGUCCCAGCUGCUAGGGAGCUGCUAGGUGGGAGGAUCAGUUGAGCCCAAGAGGUAGAGGCUGCAGUGAGCUGAGAUCAUACCACUGCACUCCAGCUGGGGCAACAGAACGAGAGUCUCAAAAAAAAAAAAAAGAAAAAGAAAAAAGAAGAACUCGUUCACAUCAGCAUUAUUCGUAAUACCCCAAACCAGGAAAUAACCCAAAUGUGCAUCAACAAGGUAAAUGCAUAAACAAACUGGGGUAUAUUUGUGCAAAGGAAUACCACUUGGGAACAAAAAAAGAAGAAUCUACUAUUGUACAUCAUGAAUAAGUUUCAAAACUGCUGAGCAAAAGAAACCAGGGUCUGCUUCGUAUCCAUGAUGUCUGGAACAGGAAAAAGCAGCCCAUGUGAUGGAAGCCGACUGCUGGGGGCUGGGGGCUGACUCGGCAGGGCCUGAGGGGCUUUCUGGGAGGAGAGUGGAUGUGCUCCUGAUUUGGAUGAGGGUAC
rnacentral:lncRNA from 10 species